AGCGAACGCUGGCGGCAGGCCUAAUACAUGCAAGUCGAACGAACCUUCCGGGGUUAGUGGCGGCUGGGUGUGUAACCCGUGGGAACGUGCCUAUAGGUUUGGCCUAACUAAGGGACACUUGUGAUAAUACGGAAUGUGAGCUAAGGGGGAAAGAUUAAUCGAAUUUAGAGCGGCCGGCGUCGGAUUAGCUAGUUGGUUGAGGUAAUGGCUCAUCAAGGCGACAUUCAGUAGCUGGUCAGAGAGAAUGAUCCGCCACAUCUGGACUGAGACACGGCCGAAACUCCUACGGGAGGCAGCAGUGGGGAAUCGUGCACAAUGGGCGAAAGCCUGACGCACCCAGGCCGCGUGAAUGAUGAAAGUCGGAGGAAUGAAAAAUUCUUUCAACGGUGACGGUAAUGACGGUACCCAGAGAAGAAGCCCCGGCUAACUACGUG
rnacentral:rRNA from 1 species